UUAGAUGCACUAUUGUAAAGUGGUUGUUCCACUGGAUAUCAUAAGGUGAAUGCACCAAUUUGCAAGUCGCUUUGGAUAAGAGCGUCUUCUAAUUGACUUAAAUGUAAUGUAAUGUAAAUGUAAUGAUAGUGACAGCUGUGUGUAACGAUAGUGACAGCUGUGCGUAGCGAUAGUGACAGGUGUGCGUAACGAUAGUGACAGGUGUGCGUAGCGAUAGUAACAGCUGUGCGUAAUGAUAGUGACAGCUGUGCAUAGCGACAUUGACAGGUGUGCGCAACGAUAGUGACAGGUGUGCGUAGCAAUAGUGACAGGUGUGCAUAACGAUAGUGGCAGGUGUGCAUAACGAUAGUGGCAGGUGUGCGUAACGAUAGUGACAACUGUGCAUAACGAUAGUGACAGGUGUGCGUAAUGAUAGUGACAGGUGUUCGUAAAGAUAGUGACAGCUGUGUGUAACGAUAGUGACAGGUGUGCGUAAUGAUAGUGACAGGUGUUCGUAAAGAUAGUGACAGCUGUGUGUAACGAUAGUGACAUUUGUGCGUAACGAUAGUGACAGCUGUGCAUAACGAUAGUGACAGGUGUGCGUAACGAUAGUGACAGCUGUGCAUAACGAUAGUAACAGCUGUGCGUAAAGAUAAUGACAGCUGUUCGUAACGAUAGUGACAGGUGAGCGUAACGAUAGUGACAGCUGUGCGUAACGAUAGUGACAGGUGAGCGUAACGAUAGUAACAGCUGUGCGUAAAGAUAAUGACAGCUGUUCGUAACGAUAGUGACAGGUGAGCGUAACGAUAGUGACACGUCUGCGUAAUGAUAGUGACAGGUGUGCAUAAUGAUGAGCAGCCUGGCGACCUCGAGCGCCAGAGAGCGGGAAUGGGAGUAGACGUGACCGAACCCCCCUCUGGCGAACCACCUGGCGAACUACCUGGGCGAGCCUGACAAGACGGCUGAGGCGUGAAACGGGAGCAGACCUGACAUUUAAAAAAAAAAAUGUCAUUAAGGUGGUCCAAAGCUUUUUUACUAUCAUUCUUUACGUAAUGUAUCUUUUUUUCAUAACGUAGUUUCUUCUUCUUUUUAUUCAGUUAAGUCAUAUGAUUUCUCAAUUUGUAAAAUGUUUACCAAACGGUUGUGCAGCCAGACUUAUUUGCCAUUCCAUUUGCCUCAUCCCUCUCAACCGUACAAUUUUUCAAUUUCUCAUCAAUCCACGGGGAUUUAACAGUGUUUACAGUCAUUUUCUUAACCGGUACAUGCUUAUUGGAACUGGAUUAAGAAAUUACAUGAGUUUGUCAAGUGCUGCGUCUGUUUGCUCCUCAUUGCGUAACACGGACCAUCAAAUAUUCUUUACAUCAACAACAUAGGAAUCAAUAUGAAACGUUGUAUGACCUCUUAUACACUAUAUCAGGCCCAGCCUUUGGCACUUUGGUUUUCUUAGAUGUGGCUACUAUAUUGCGAUCACUACAUCCGAUAGAUCUGGAUACUGCUUUACUAAUGUAGCAUUAGUAAAGAUGUGAUCAAUACAUGUUGAUGAUUUCAUUCCUGUGCUAUUUGUAACUACCCCAGUAGGUUGAUAAUCUGAACCAUGCUGGUCACUGGUCACUUUUUGAAGCUUUUUCUUGAGUGGGCAGCUUGAUGAAAGCCAGUCAAUAUUUAAAUCAUCUAGAAAAUAUGCCUCUGUUGAUAUCACACACAUUAUCUAGCAUUUCAUAUUAUCCAGAUACUGACUGUUAGCUCUUGGUGGUCUAUAGUAGCUUCCCACCAGAAUGGGCUUUAGGUGAGGCAGAUGAACCUGUAGCCAUAUUACCAAAUUACAAUAUUCUACAUGAUAUCCUCUCUAAUCUUUACAGGAAUGUGGUUCUGAAUAUAAAAAGCAACACCUCCACCAUUGGCAUUUCUAUCUUUCCUGUAAAUGUUAAUACCUUGUAUUGCUACCUCUCUAUCAUCAAAGGUAUUAUCUAAGUGGGUUUCAGAGAUAUAUGAAAGGUAUCUGUUACUGGCAAACUAUUGACUUCAUGUACCUUGUUUCUUAAGUUACACAUGUUAACAUGGGCUAUUUUAAGCACUUUUCUUCUUGGAUGCUUACUUGUUUCCAUUGCUCUACUGGGGAGCUUAGCAGAAGUAGAAAUGCUCAUGUUAUUUAAGUUAGUACAGGGUGAGCUGCACAUAGUGGACUUCCUCCAAGGGCACACCACCUCAGUGCUAAUAGUAUACAUCUGGUUCAUAGGAACAUGAUUACUGGAUACUUUUAUUUAUUUUACCUUUAUUUAACUAGGCAGGAUAACUUGAGCCUGUUGCUCCUGGGCGCCUAGUGCUGGCCUCCGACAGAUGGAAAAGCUCUGCUCGAUACAGAGCAUGGACGGAAGGUUGCUGAUGUUGACUUUGAAAUCGUAGUAGUAGGCACUGCAACCACAGAAACAGGCACCCCCAGCGACGAAGGUGCAGGCAGAUCAGGCUCCAGGAUGGCGAAACAAUUAAUUGUUUGUAUCGGCUCAGGGCCUCUUGUUGGGAGUGUAGACUACUUUGCGGGAGGCCGCUAUCUUUGGCUUCCACGGCUCGUGUCAUGCGACCAUCGUUGAUUGCCUUGUUCCUCUUCCUGUGCUCCUUCGACUCCGCUGGAUGGGGGAGCUCUGGGCAACACUGGCCACUCGGAUAAUGACAAAUGACAAGGCGGAGAUGCAUCCAACAAGUGCGAAACCCGUUCUGCCACCAACAUAGAAAAUGUAAACAUUCCACUCUUUUUCCCAGUUUCUUAUGUCGGAUGGUGUCAUGACUACACAUGAGGAUCACAAUGGGUCAGAUCAGCUUGGCAAUGGCUGACAAUCACCAGACCCUCUCCCACCCACAAAGGGGGGAGGAGGGAAUGGUGGGGUUUUUGACACCUUCACACCCGGUCAUAUAAAUGAAGCAGGAAGAGAACUAUCUUUGGCUCUCUAGUAUUGGGACUGAACUGUCCUCUGUCUCACAGAGACUUUUGCCAGCCAAAGACUCUAACGUCCAAAAAGUGAACUUUAGAACAAAUAUUUCUAACAUCUGAAUGUGGGAAAUGGUAAAUUGUAAUGUCAUUAAACAUUGUAUAAAAUGUUAUAACGAAAAUAUUGUAACUUUAACACUAUACACACUGUAUAUGUGAAGUUUACAUCCAAUCUCAAAUCAAAUCAAAUUGUAUUGGUGACAUACACAUGGUUAGCAGAUGUUAAUGUGAGUGUAACGAAAUGUUUGUGCUUCUAGUUCCAACCGUGCAGUAAUAUCUAACAAGUAAUCUAACAAUUUCACAACUACCUUAAACACACAAGUGUAACGGAAUGAAUAAGAAUAAGUACAUAUAAAUAAUGGAUGGGCGAUGGCCGUGCGGCAUAGGCAAGAUGCAGUAGAUGGUAUAGAGUACAGUAUAUAAAUAUGAGAUGAGUAAUGUAGGGUAUGCAAACAUUAUAUAAAGCGGCAUUGCUUAAAGUGACUAGUGAUAUAUUUAUUACAUCAAAUUAUUAAUUGUUGAAGUGGCUAGAGAUUUGAGUCAGGAUGUUGGCAGCAGCCACUCAAUGUUAGUGAUGGUUGUUUAACAGUCUGAUGGCCUUGAGAUGGAAGCUGUUUUUCAGUCUCUCAGUCCCAACUUUGAUGCACCUGUACUGACCUCACCUUUUAGAUGAUAGUGGGGUGAACAGGUAGUGGCUCAGGUGAUUGUUGUCCAUGAUGAUCUUUUUGGCCUUCCUGUGACAUCGGGUGGUGUAGGUGUCCUGGAGGGCAGGUAGUUUGCCCCUGGUGAUGCGUUGUGCAGACCUCACUACCCUCUGGAGAGCCUUAUGGUUGUGGGCGGAGCAGUUGCCAUACCAGGCGGUGAUAGAGCCCGACAGGAUGCUCUCGAUUGUGCAUCUGUAAAAGUUUGUGGGUGUUUUCAGUGACAAGCCACAUUUCUUCAGCCUCCUGAGGUUGAAGAGGCGCUGUUGCCUCUUCAACCUCUUCUGUGGUGCCCCUAAUUCCUAAUGAGUUAAUUGUUAAAUUAUUAAUGUAAUCGGGUAGCAGGAUUAAAUAAAUAACAGUCAUCAGAUUAAUGAAAGUCACGAUACUGGCGACGUGCCUGAUCAAAGAAGCCACGUCAAGCCUAUUAUCCUCGGCAAACAAACAACUGCCACAUUGGAACUGAAUCCGGUUUGUUCCGAAACACAGUGUAGUAGAUACCGCUCCUACAGCGUUGCAACUGUUCUUUAAUUUCUCCAGACAACGGGGGCUCCAUUGCAAAACUCUUCCGGUACCAACUUCGUUAGUUUGAUGGUUAGUAGCUUAGCGUCUCUAUCAAGCAAGCUUCAACUUGUCUGUUAAGCGGGAUUCUGGGAGAAGAAAUAGCGGUCCUAGCUGUUAACAGCAUCCUCUGAUGCACAGAGGGACAUUUAACCAGCAUUACUCCUGUAAGUCGCUCUAAACUGUAAAGCGUAGUGUAAAAGCAGAUGAGAUGGUUGUUUUUGCUGUUUUGUGGUGGAGAACUGAGUGGGUCGAUCAUAAUAGAUAGGCUAGACAUUGUUAUGUGAAGCUUGCAUUCAAUUGCCCAUCUAAGUCACCGACCCGGUUACAGUCAACCCUGUUCCUUUUUUUGGCAUUUACCAUAGCCUCUUUUUUUUAUGGAGAAAACAUGCUUUUUAUUAAAUUGAACAUUUGCUCUUUAUGACAGAUUGUUACAAUUUGGUGUAAUAAAACAUUUUAAUUCACCAAGAUACACUCCUAAAAAUGCAUCUAAUUGUAGAAAAGACCAAGCUGUGUGCAUUGUAUUGUGAUAUAUAUGUGUGCUGGUCUGGGAUCAGAUGGUAUGAGUCAGAGUAUGCUGUGGGCUCUGUCUGAACUGUGCUGAGUCAAUGAGAUGGAGCAGCUGGGAGAGAAACAGAGAGAUGAUCAGAGCACAGAGAGUAGUUCUUUACACACCCUCUGAGGAUACACGCUCGCACAUACGCAAGCAUACACACACACACACACACACACACACACACACACACACACACACACACACACACACACACACACACACACACACACACACACACAC
rnacentral:lncRNA from 1 species